rnacentral:lncRNA from 1 species
UUUUAAUAAUAAAAUUUAGUUAAUUUUUUAUAAAAAUUUUAUUUAUAUUUUUUAUUAUUAAAAUUUUUAAUUUUAUUUUUUAAUUUUUAAUUUAAUCUUUCAUGCCCAGAAUAUUUUCUAAAAAAAUUUAAUUUUAUUAGUGAACUUCGGAGGAAAAGAAGGUAUUUGAAGAAAUUUUUUAAAAUUAAUAUGAAUAGUUUGGUCAUCCAGGAGUAAAUAAAAUAAUUUUGAAGUUUUAAAGAUUAUAUUAGGUAUUGUCUUAUUUUAAUAUUUUGUUAAUAAUUAAAUUAAUUCAAUAAAAAUAAUUUAUAUGUGUGGCAUAAAAUUUUGUAAGAAAAUAUUUGUAAUUAAUUAAUUAAUAAUAAUAUGUGUG